UUGAUUUUCUGGAUGGUGAGCUGUGCCUUCACAGAACAUGGAGGGCUGAUCACAUUUCCGGAGCUUGACCCUCAGAGCAGCAGUGGGCCAAUUGGCAGAGAAAGUUCUGAGGAUGAAAAGUUCUUGGUGGAAGAGGUUCCCAUUCCUGCAACCAAGGUGACCUCCACCAUUUUUCCACUGGCAGAGGCUCCAGCCCCAGAUAAGCAACAAAACCAGCCAUG